rnacentral:rRNA from 1 species
AACGAACGCUGGCGGCAUGCCUAACACAUGCAAGUCGAACGAGACCUUCGGGCCUAGUGGCGCACGGCUGCGUAACGCGUGGGAACCUGCCCUUAGGUUCGGAAUAACUCCCCGAAAGGGAUGCUAAUACCGGAUAGUGUCUUCGGACCAAAGAUUUAUCGCCUUUGGAUGGGCCCGCGUUGGAUUAGCUGGUUGGUAGGGUAAAAGCCUACCAAGGCGAGGAUCCAUAGCUGGUCUGAGAGGAUGACCAGCCACACUGGGACUGAGACACGGCCCAGACUCGUACGGGAGGCAGCAGUGGGGAAUAUUGGACAAGGGGCGAAAGCCUGAUCCAGCAAUGCCGCGUGAGUGAUGAAGGCCUUAGGGUUGUAAAGCUCUUUUACCCGGGAUGAUAAUGACAGUACCGGGAGAAUAAGCACCGGCUAACUCCGUG